UUUAAUUUCCUUCCAUUUCCCCUUCAUUUCCUUCCAUUUCCCUUUAAUUUCCUUCUAUUUCCCUUUAAUUUCCUUCCAUUUCCCCUUCAUUUCCUCUCAUUUCUCCUUCCUUUCCAUCUAUUUCCCCUUCAUUUCCUUCCGUUUCCCUUUAAUUUCCUUCCAUUUCCCUUUAAUUUCCUUCCAUUUCCUCUUAAUUUCCUUCCAUUUCCCUUUAAUUUCCUUCCAUUUCCUCCAUCAUUUCCUUCCCUUUUCCCCCAUUUCCUUCCCUUUUCCCCUCCAUUUUCCUCACUUUCUUCCCCUUUCUGUCCUUUUCCCCCUCCACUUCCUUCACUUUUCCCCCAUUUCUUCCCUUUCACCCCCUUUUCCUUCAAUUUUCCCCAUUUCCUUCCUUUUCCCCUCCACUUCCUUCCCUUUUUCCCCAUUUCCUCCCCUUUUCCCUCAAUUUUCCCCACUUUCCCCCCUAUUUCCCCUCUAUUUUCAUCACUUUUCCCCCAUUUCCUUCCUGUUUCCCCUCCACUUCCUUCCCUUUUCCCCCAUUUCCUUCCCUUUUCCAUUCAAUUUUCCUCACUUUAUCCCCAUUUCCUUCCUGUUUCCCCUCUAUUUCUUCCCUUUCCCCCCUUUUCCUUCACUUUUCCCCAUUUCCUUCCUUUUUCCCCUCCAUUUUCUUCACUUUUCCCCAUUUCCUUCCAUUUCCCCUCGCAAUUUCCUUUUCUUUUCCCCUCAAUUUCAUUCAUAUUUUCCAUUUUCCUUCACUUUUCCCCCUCAAUUUUCCUUCAUUUCCCCCACUUCCUUCCCUUUCUUUCCCCUUUCCCACCCAUUUUCUUCAUUUUCCCCCAUUUCCCCCUCAAAUUUCAUUUCCCCUUCCAAUUUUCUUCACUUUUUUCCCUUUUCCUUCUAUUUUCCCCCAAUUUCCUUCACUUCUCCCCUCCACUUUCGUUCACUUUUCCCUAUUUAUUUCCCCUUUUCCUUCACUUCCCCCCCAUUUCCUUCGCUUUCCCCAUUUCCUUCCAUUUCCCACUCCAAUUUCCUUCACUUUUCCCUUUUUUCUUCACUUCCCCCUUCAUUUUAACUUUUCCUCCCCAUUUUCUUCCCCCUUGUCCCCCCUUUCCUUCCCUUUCCCCCCCAUUUUCUUCCUUUUUUUCCUCUUUUCCUUCCCUAUUUCCCCUUUUCCUUCCCUAUUCCCCCCCUUCCUUCCCUUUUCCACCUAUUUUCUUAACAUUUUUCCCCUUCCCCCCCCCUUUUCUUCCCUAUUUCCCCCCUUUCCCCCCAUUUUUCCCUUUCCCUCUUUUCCUUCACAAUUUCCCCCCUUUUCCUUCACUUUUCCUCCCUUUCCUCCUCCUUUUCCUUCCAUUUUUCCCCCCUUUUACUUCACUUCCCCCCCCUUUUUUCCCCUUUUCCUUCUAUAACCCCCUUUUUCUCCCCCCUUUUUCCUUCACUUCCUCCCCCUUUUCCCUCAUUAUUUCCCCCUUUUCCUUCAGUAUUUCCCCCCUUCCCCCCUUUUUCUUCACAAUUUCCCCUCCUUUUCCUCCCCUUUUCCCCUCCUUUUCCUUAUUUCCCCCUUUUCCCCCAUUAUUUCCCCCAUUAUUUCCCCCCUUUUCCC
ensembl:lncRNA